ACUCAAAGGAAUUGACGGGGGCCCGCACAAGCAGUGGAGUAUGUGGUUUAAUUCGAAGCAACGCGAAGAACCUUACCAGGGCUUGACAUACCGGUGACAGGUGCAGAGAUGCACUCUUCUUCGGACACCGGAUACAGGUGGUGCAUGGUUGUCGUCAGCUCGUGUCGUGAGAUGUUGGGUUAAGUCCCGCAACGAGCGCAACCCCUAUUGUUAGUUGCCAUCAUUAAGUUGGGCACUCUAGCAAGACUGCCGGUGACAAAUCGGAGGAAGGUGGGGACGACGUCAAAUCAUCAUGCCCCUUAUGUCCUGGGCUACACACGUACUACAAUGGCCGUUAACAACAGGAAGCAAUACCGCGAGGUGGAGCAAAUCCCCAAAAACGGUCUCAGUUCAGAUUGCAGGCUGAAACUCGCCUGUAUGAAGUCGGAAUUGCUAGUAAUCGCGAAUCAGCAUGUCGCGGUGAAUACGUUCCCGGGCCUUGUACACACCGCCCGU
rnacentral:rRNA from 1 species